AUUGAACGCUGGCGGCAUGCCUUACACAUGCAAGUCGAACGGCAGCACGGGAGCAAUCCUGGUGGCGAGUGGCGAACGGGUGAGUAAAGUAUCGGAACGUGCCCAGUCGUGGGGGAUAACGUAGCGAAAGUUACGCUAAUACCGCAUACGAUCUAUGGAUGAAAGCGGGGGAUCGCAAGACCUCGCGCGAUUGGAGCGGCCGAUAUCAGAUUAGGUAGCUGGUGGGGUAAAGGCUCACCAAGCCGACGAUCUGUAGCUGGUCUGAGAGGACGACCAGCCACACUGGGACUGAGACACGGCCCAGACUCCUACGGGAGGCAGCAGUGGGGAAUCUUGGACAAUGGGCGAAAGCCCGAUCCAGCAAUGCCGCGUGCAGGAUGAAGGCCUUCGGGUUGUAAACUGCUUUUGUACGGAGCGAAAAGGUCUCUUCUAAUACAGGAGGCCCAUGACGGUACCGUAAGAAUAAGCACCGGCUAACUACGUGCCAGCCGCCGCGGUAA
rnacentral:rRNA from 1 species